rnacentral:pre_miRNA from 1 species
CUGCCCCCGCCGUCACCUUCUCGCUACGCGAGCCGGGCUCCCGGGGACCCGGCGGGCCUCCGUUUCCCCGCGGGCCCGGGCUCUUGGCGCGGAAGCGGCGCCCCGAGCG